rnacentral:rRNA from 1 species
GACAGAGGGUGCAAACGUUGUUCGGAAUUACUGGGCGUAAAGCGCGCGUAGGCGGCUUUGCAAGUCGGGCGUGAAAUCCCCAGGCUUAACCUGGGAACUGCAUUCGAGACUGCAUUGCUAGAGUAUGGGAGAGGGAAGUGGAAUUUCCGGUGUAGCGGUGAAAUGCGUAGAUAUCGGAAGGAACAUCAGUGGCGAAAGCGACUUCCUGGACCAAUACUGACGCUCAUGUGCGAAAGCGUGGGGAGCAAACAGG